GACGAACGCUGGCGGCAUGCCUAAUACAUGCAAGUCGAGCGAACGGAUGAAGUGCUUGCACUUCUGACGUUAGCGGCGAACGGGUGAGUAACACGUAAGGAACCUACCUAUAAGCGGGGGAUAACAUUCGGAAACGGGUGCUAAUACCGCAUAAUAUCUUCUUCCGCAUGGAAGAAGAUUGAAAGACGGCUCUGCUGUCACUUAUAGAUGACCUUGCGGUGCAUUAGUUAGGUGGUGGGGUAAUGGCCUACCAAGACGAUGAUGCAUAGCCGACCGGGGAGGGUGAGCGGCCACAUUGGGACGGCGACAGGGCCCAAACUCCUACGGGAGGCAGCAGUAGGGAAUCUUCCGCAAUGGGCGAAAGCGUGACGGAGCAAUGCCGCGUGAGUGAAGAAGGCCUUCGGGUCGUAAAACUCUGUUGUUAGGGAAGAACAAAUUUGUUAGUAACUGAACAAGUCUUGACGGUACCUAACCAGAAAGCCACGGCUAACUACGUGCCAGCCGCCGCCGUAA
rnacentral:rRNA from 1 species